rnacentral:lncRNA from 1 species
CCUUACAAUGGAAAACAAUUUAAAAAAAGCAAAAAAAAAAACUAGAUGCUUCCGCUUUCCCUACACACACAUGGGCCAGCCCAUGAGUCGGCGCGGGGGAGCGGGGGUUACGCGCUACGUCUUUCGCUGGCGCGUACAGCGCUAAAUGGGAUGUCUCGGUGUAGCAUCUCAUUGAAUCCCGGAUGCAUGGUCCGACCAUCUCUUCAAACCGAAAGCUGCCCAUAUGGUCCAUCAUCCUGGCGUCUGAAAUACUUUUGGAAAGACAAUUAUGGUUAGUUUUCGGAUAAGUACUCUCGAUAAUCUACAAAUAGGAGAUGUUUUAUUGUAUUUUGAUUACUUUUGGAUAGACAAUCAUUACUAUUAAUAUCAUCCUUCGUAUCUAGAUAAAGUAAGACAAUCUAUAAAUAGAAGAUUUUUUAUUCUGUUUUGUUAAGUUUGGAUAGACAAUUAUUAUUAGUAUUAGCCUUGGUAUCUAGAUAAAUAUAAGGCAAUCUAUAAAUAGAAGUUUUUUAUUCUGUUUUGACUACGUUUGGAUAAACAAUUAUUAUUAUUAGUAUCAUCCUUCGUAUCUAAAUAAAUAUAAGACAAUCUACAAACAGAAGAAUUUUCAUUCUGUAGACAAUUAUUAUUAUUAUUAGUUCAGGAUAAAUACAUAUGAAAUGCCGUGUGAUAAAUGUGGUAAACGAUCGAUCCACACAUGAGGAAUAUAUCUAGACAUGUUUUAGUGUUAGAUACGUAAAUACCUUCGUAUUUAAUAAGUCUAAGCCAAUUUUUUGGGACGGAGGUAACAUAUAAAGAGGGGUCUUGCCCUCAUGGGCAGAGCAGCACGGAGAGCAAAGUUGGCUUCCCUACGCAACGAUAACAAGGGUAGCUACCUCGCAAACCUGUGUGCACUCUGCAAGCAGCAGUCUCCAAAAUGCUGGCUUGCUGCUGCUUGGUUGUGUCCCAGCUGCUCAUCGUAAUAACACUCAUAUACCUUGUCAUUACCAAGAGCAAGGUCCGCUGUGACACGUGCUCAUCAGCGACGGUGCCGCUUCCACUUCCGCCGGGGCCAUGUCCGUGGCCAGUGGUGGGUAACCUGCCCGAGAUGGUGGUCAACAAGCCGGCAUUCCGUUGGAUCCAUCGCGUGAUGAAGGAUAUGGGCACCGACAUCGCCUGCUUCCGCCUCGGCGGCGUCCACGUCGUCCCGAUCACAUGUCCCAAGAUCGCAAGGGAGGUGCUCAAGAAGCAGGACAAAAACUUCUCGUCCCGCCCACUCACCUUCGCCUCCGGCGUCAUCAGCAGCGGGUACAAGGACGCCGUGCUCUCGCCGUUCGGUGACCAGUGGAUGAAGAUGCGCAAGGUGCUCACCUCUGAGAUCAUCUGCCCCUCCCGUCACAAGUGGCUCCACGACAAGCGCGCCGAUGAAGCUGACAACUUGACGCGCUACAUCUACAACCUCACUGCCGGGGGGUUGUCAUCUUCAACGUCGGGACUAGCCAACGUCAAUGUCAGGCACGUCGCGCGGCAUUACUGCGGCAACAUCAUCCGCCGGCUUGUCUUCGGCCAACGGUACUUCGGGGAGCCUCAGCCGGACGGCGGGCCGGGGCCAAUGGAGGUGGAGCACAUGGACGCUUCCUUCGCCCUCCUAGGGUUCACCUUCACGUUCUGCGUCAGCGACUACCUCCCGUGUCUACUUGGCCUAGAUCUCGACGGCCACGAGAAAAUUAUUAAGGAGGCCAACACAAAAGUGGAUAGACUGCACGACGUGGUCAUCGAAGAGCGUUGGAGGCAGUGGAACAGCGGCGAGAGGCAGGACGGGGUCCAGGACUUCCUUGACGUUCUCAUCACGCUCGCCGACGGUGACGGCAAGCCGUUGCUCAGCAUCGAUGAGGUCAAAGCACAAUCCAAGGUAAGCAAAAUAUUAAUUAAUGAGAAAUUUUAAGAUGGUUCAAGGGCCUAGAUUGAAUUUAGUACCCAAUUGCCUCAUAGUCCUACAAGGUACUAAUACGUCAUCCAUGAGAAAAGGUAAUAGCUCACACUAUUAAAUACUAGAUCUUAUACCGUAUUUCGCAGGUGUUAGAAAAUGGAAACAAUAGAAUAAGAAAUUAUGAAUUAAUAGUUUAAACAUACCAUUAUUGUAAUUUUCUACCAUUUUGAUGUGAUUUCAACUUAAAUUUUAUUUAAAUUUCCAAUUAUUCAAUGUAAUCUCUCUUUAUGCAAAGGUAUAAAUUGUAAUAACUUACAUUUAUCUCCAUGGAAUGCAUGCAGGGCAUAAUAUUAGCGGCCAUUGAUAACCCGUCAAACGCAGUGGAGUGGGCACUGGCGGAGAUGGUGAACAACCCAGAAUUGCUGGCCAAGGCGGUGGAGGAAAUGGACCGGGUGGUCGGUCACGAGCGACUGGUGCAAGAGUCGGACAUCAUGCAGCUCAACUAUCUCAAGGCAUGCAUACGUGAGGCAUUCCGCCUCCACCCAAUCGCUCCCUUCAACCUGCCGCACGUCGCGAUUGCCGACACCAUUGUUGCGGGCUACCACGUGCCCAAGGGUAGCAACGUCAUCCUCAGCCGGCUGGCCCUGGGCCGGAACCCCACCGUCUGGGAUGAACCGCUCCGCUUCAAGCCGGAGCGCCAUAUGGGAGACAACAUCAAUGUGGUGCUUACUGAGAGCGAAUUGCGGUUCAUCUCCUUCAGCACCGGACGACGGGGAUGCAUCGCGGCAUCACUAGGAACAACCAUGAGUGUCAUGCUCUUUGGCAGGCUCCUGCAUGGCUUCACCUGGACCAAACCGGCUGGGGUGUCGGCCAUCAAUCUCAGCGAGUCCAAGCGCAACCUCUUUAUAGAGAAGCCGCUAGUGCUACAUGCUGAGCCACGUCUUCCAGUGCACCUCUACCCUCUCAUGCAUUGUUGAGCAAAUAACGAGCUAUGAAUCACCGAUAUGGCGAGUAUGCUAGCUAUUUUUUUGAUGAAUCUAUAUUUACUAAUAAAGGAAGGAAAUAUUCUUUUUUUCAUCCCGCUUUGUUUCGUUCCACUUCGAUUGAUUUUCACGUAUGCUAGCUAUUUUGGUUUUGUCUGUUUCACGUACGAGCGAGCAUGUUUCUUUCAUGCGCCGCGGGAUCGUCCUAGGCUUGUCCAAAGCAUUGGAACAGUACGUGAUAGGCAAACAAUCACCCAUCUAGUAUUAAUUUUGGACAAAUAGAGAUUAAAUGUAUAUAAGAUGAUGCUCUUUAUAUCACCAACGAAGGAUGAAAGUAGGUCGGCGCAUAUAGGACAACUCCAUUUGAGUUGUUUCUUCCGGCCCAAGUCCCAGGCGGGGCAGCAUAGAAGAUGAGGGUUUUUUUUUUGAGGUGAGAAGAUGAGAAGUCCGGUUGAAAACAGACAGAUGGGCCGGCCUGUGCGUUUGGUCGAGUAUCACAAUGAGAGACGUAUUCAUCAGAUGGGCAGCUAAACAGAAGCACGAGCCCACUUCAUCAUCAUAAAAUAAAAUAAACUCGGCCGUCUUUCUUCGUCGCGAGCAGCCGCGACGUGAGAUGACCCGGGCGCCAUGGCCGACCCCUCGCUCCGUCCGGCAGGCCACGGAGCUCCACGCUGUCCUCACCGCCUCCGGCCGCCUCCUCAACCAGCCCUCCGCCGCGCACCUCCUCAACUCCCUCGCCAGCUGCAUUUCCCCCGGCGACCCGCUCCACCUCCGCUACGCGCUCAGCCUGUUCGACCGAAUGCCCUGCUCCACCUUCCUCUUCGACACCACGCUCCGCGCUUGCUUCCGCGCCUCCUCGGGACCUGAGCACCCGUUCCUCCUCUACCGGCGUAUGCGCCGCGGGGGCGUGCCCCCCGACGCCUUCACGUUCCACUUCCUCUUCAAGUGCUGCUCCCGCGGCCGCGCGCACGUCCUCCUGUGCCGGAUGCUGCACGCCGCGUGCUUCCGUACCAUGCUUCCCUCUGCAGACCGCACCACUCCGUCGCCCGCGCUUCCCCUCUUCCCCGAGCUCCCCGGAGAGGCCCUGCCGCCGAGCCACACCUCGCUGUACUGCAGGGAUCAUGCCACAGCACCUCCCCUCCCCAAAGUUUGUGCGCCACUAUGCAGACUCCUUCCCCACCGCCGGCCAACUGCCGCCGCGUACCUGUCGAGCAAAGUGCUCGAGCAAAUUCCCCUACUAGUGGCAGAAUCUUCAGUUCCAGUUGUUGGCUAACUAACGGUCACUUAAUCUAGUGCAAGCAGCACCAUUUAAAAGUAGGUUGCGGCCUUUCCCCCAUCUGAACUUUUUUUAAUUGCAACUAUGUAAUUUGGUUGUGCCUAGCAGCAAGAAAAAGAAGAGAAGGAGUAAUGACUGAGCGGUGGCGAUGCAAUGCGACGAGCAGAAGGUUAGCUGGAGCCUGCAGGCUGCAGGCAUGGGCGCCGAGCUGCUAAUACUUUGGGGUGGCUCGUAAUGUACUUGGCCGAAUGCUAUUACUGCUACAAAUGAUCAAAUGGAGAAGUAAAGUGGGGCAAAAGAUCCAAUUUAUUUGGUGGGAACUCCUAGUCAGCGCCUUUAGCGCCGCGCUAGCUAACCGGCGCCUGCAGCCGCGACUGGAUGGGCCGGCCCACAAUGGCGCGGCGAGGAAAAAGGCGGCCCAAAAACCUGCAAUCGAUCGCGAUCGAUCUUGCGCCCUCACGCUUCCAAAGACCGAGGCUAACCACUUGACCAGCCAAACUGUAGUGAUUAUUUAGAGCGUGAAGUUUAAAAGAAUAGAAACACAUACGCACUAUUAAUUUCGCAUUACACUGUAGCAUUUAGAUUUUCCAAUUAUUUAAAAACAUGUCCAUAUUACAAAUGAAGUUCAUGCGCAUGCAAAAAUAGUUCGCGUACUCAAAAAAUAGUUCAACAAAUAAAAAAGUACAUGUAUUCAAAAUAAAGUUCACAGAUUCAAAAGAGUUCAUCAAUUUUCAAAAAAUUUCCAUCGAACAAUAAAAUUAGUUCAUCAAUUUGAAUAAAAAAAGUUCAUCAAAUUUGAAAAAAGUUCAUCAAAAUUUGAAAAAAGUUCAUCGGAUUUCAAAAAAGUUCAUCUAAAUUGGAAAAAGUUAAUGUAUUCAAAAACAAGUUCACAAAUUCAAAAGAGUUCAUCGAUUUUCAAAAAUGUUCAUCGAAUAAUGAAAGUAGUUCAUCGAUUAGAAUAAAAAAGUUCAUCAAUUUGAAAAAAGUUCAUCAACGUUGAAAAAAAGUUCAUCGAUUUUGAGAAAAAUUUAAAAUAAAUGAAAAAGUUCAUCAAAUUUGAAAAAUAAGUUCAUCGAUUUUGAAAAAGGUUCAAGAGUUUUAAAAAAACAGUUCAUGGAUUUUGAAAACAAGUUCAUCUAUUUGAAGAAAACAAUUACGAAUUUGGAAAAAGAAAGAAGAAAAGAACAGAGAAAAAAGAAAAAGAAAGAAAAAAAGGAAAAAUUGAAGGUAUAAAUGGAUGAAAAACGUUUUUGUUAUCAUAGUUAGUGAGGUAGCCGGGUUGGUCACGCCACAAUCACUGAUAACCAGCGAUUCAGGGUUUGAAUCCUAGCUCGCGCUGUGUUUUUGCAGUUUUCCAUAAAGUUUAGAGAGCGGAAGAAAAAUGAAAGAUGGGCCGGCCCACGAGAUCCUGCUGCAGGCGCCGGUUAGCAAAAACAGUACAAACCGGCGCCUGCAGCGCUAUACUUGAGAGCUAAUCCAGGUUGAACCCAAAACUGAACUUGAACCUGGACUUCUCUAGCUGAGGCUGCUCCGUCCACUUGCUAGCUUCAUAUGCCAUAAGUAGAGACCAGCUACACGGAGAAGAAAAGACAAGUAAUAAAUCGUAUAGUGGCGGUUACUUCUAGGAGAUAAGACAUAGAGAUAAAGACCAAAAGGUCUGGUGUAAAAAAAUGCACAACUUUUCUGUAUAAAAAAUUACUAUUAGUUUGCGUGCUGACCGUUGAGAAUUUGAGAUCAUGAUUCAAAGUGUCACUUCGUAGUGCUAGUGCUACUAGGAUUCCAUAAGAAUUGUGCGCAACAUAAAGUUUUCUUUUGUUGUUGAGUGAUGUGUGCUGAUUUUACGGUGUCACUGCAAAACCCAACUAGUCACACGCACGCACGCACACACAAAGUUUUGAAAAAAAAAGAAAACUUCCCACGCUCAACGACCCAACUGUUGUUGAGCGGUCCACGCAUUUAGGAAAAACAGGUUUAAGAUGACAUUUAAUUUUAGAAUUGUUCGCGUGGAGACUAGAAAUAGGAAAUUUGAAAAAUUAGAACACUACUAAAAAAUGAAAAUUAGUUGAAGUUCAUGUGUGAAAAUCAUGGAGGGUCAAACACACUAAAAACGUCAACUAAAAACUUUUAUCAACAAUUAACAUAGAAAGUAAAAAUACACUAGUGAAGUUCGAAUGAGUAGCAUAAAUAAAGUCCACACUUACACUCCUUCAAAGUUAGCAUAAAAAAGUGGAAUUUUUACGGACAAACAAGAAUCACCAAAGAAGAAAACAAGCAUCACCUAGAAUAGUGUAAACUGUUGAAGUUCAAAUUUAGUAAAUUAUAGAAUUCAAAGAAAGUGUUAUGGGUGUACAAAAUUUUUCUCCAACGGAUUUUCCCGUUACUGGAAAACAAUAACAAAAAAAAUUAAAAAUUAAAAAUAACGAAGAAUCUUAAAAUAUGUAACAAAUAACAUAUUUUCACGUUUAAAAAACACAAGCAAGGUCAAAUUAAAAUAAUGUAGCACUUCAGAAAAAUAAUGAAAUAGAUUACCCCUGUUUCUCACAAAAAUCUAGAAGUUCAACUAAAAAUGGCGGAGCUGUUUGAUGUUUAAUAGAAAAAUAAUUUGUCUUCGCUUCCAAAACAAAAAUAAAACCAAGAAGUCCAAAUUAAAAAGAUGCAGCAUUUCGAUGAUUAUAGAGAACUCAAAUUUUGUUCGUUAUGAAAGAAUGGAAACACCAAGUUCAAAAUUAAAUCACACAAUUGUUCAAUGUAUAAAAAUUAGAAAAUCCGAAUCCGAUGAUGGGAACAUCAUAAGAAAGUCAAACAAAAAUAACUCGGAAGUUCAAAAGAUAACAUGGCACAUUGAAGUGGAUAUUUCACCGUUUCUACAUAGAAAACAAUAAGUUCACAUUCUAAAAAUAGAGGGGUUCAAAAAUCACUAAAAAGGAUUUUCACCGUUUCUAAAUAAAAAAAAAACUCUAGAAGUUCAUAUUUAAAUAACGAACCGGUUCAAUACUUAUUACAAAGCUAGAAUAUUUCCGUUACUAAAAAAAUAAACCAUGAAGUCCAAAUAAAAAAAUAGAGAAGUUUGCUACUUAUAAAAAAACCCACAUUUUCUUGGUACUAAAAGAAAUAAAAUCAAGAACUUCAAUUUUUCACAUUUCUAAAAAACACACAAAAAAGUUCAAAUAAAAAAGUUAAAGCGGUUCAGUGUCAAUAAAAAACUCAUAUUUUUACCAUUACUAAAGUGAAACAGAGAGAAGUUCAAAAUGAUAACAGCCAGAAGUUCACAUAGUGCACGGUGUGUGUUUCAUAUGAGAAAAACAGUAAAAAGGCGAAGUCUAAAAUUUUUGUUGCAAGAAGUUCAAGUGCUCUUCCCUGAGAAGUUAAAAAAAUUAUUGUUAAAGAUGUUCAGCAUGUGCUUACAUGUUCAAAAAACGCAAAAAGAAUGUUGUGUCUCAUGUUUUAAAAUAAUUCUCUCAGUCCACCCCAAAUUUGGAACAAAGAUACUCUAUAUGAAAAAAGUUCUUUUCUAUUCAACAACUUUCUACAUUAAAAAACAUCUCAAACAAUUUUAUAAAAACGAUUUUCUCUGUUAAAAGUAACCUAGAAGUCAAAUUUAAAAAUGGAGUGGCUCGAUGUCUGUCAGAAAGUAGGAUUUUUUCCGUUAAUAAAAGAAAUAAAACCAGGAAGUCCAAAUUAAAAAGAUGGAGAAGUUUGAUGGUUAUAGAAAACUCAGAUUUUCCUUGUUAUUAAAGAAUGGAAACAAGAAGUUCAAAAAUUAAAUAACAAGAAGUUCAACUUUAAUAAUAUAGUGCAUCAAAAUUUCAUAAAAAGAUUAAGAAAUAAUACGAGGAAGUCCAUAUUAAAAAGAUGGGGAAGUUCGAUGAUUAUAGAAAACUCAGAUUUUCCUUAUUAUUAAAGAAUGGAAACAACAAGUUCUAAAUUAAAAUAACAAGAAGUUCAACUUUUAAAAAUAGGGCGCUUCAAAAUUCAUAAAAAAGAUUAAGAAAUUCAGAUUAAUAUUCAUAAAAAACUCAGAUAUUUUCACGUAACCGAGAUAAGUUCAGAUUGAUAACUGCCAGAAUUUCACGUACUACAGAAUGUGCAUUUUGUAUUAAAAAGGAAUAAAAAACAAAGACUAAAAGUUUUGCUGUUAUAAGUUCAAGUCCUCGGCCGGAGAAAGUUAAAAAAAAUUAUUGUGAGAGAGGUUUGUACAAAAGAAAUAUCAUUUGUGUAACACUAUCGAUUGGAUGAGAAAUUACAAACAAAAAUACGUCAUAGAAGUUCAACGUGAAAACAACAGGAAGUUCAACUACUGCACUGAAUGAAUUUCACAUGAAAAAACUUUUAAAACCAUCGCGAGUAUGAAAAACUGAUCAACACGGAAAAGUUGCAUGUUUACAACAGCUUUCCAUCGGUAUAUAACUUGCUUAAUUUCGGUGAGUGGAUGGAGAGCUACGAGGAAAAAACACAUGAAAAAUAGAGUAAAGUUCAAGUAGACAUGCUGAGAAGUUAAAGUUCUUCACGUGGUGCAUUUUCGAAAAAUCUGUUUCGCGAUAAAGGCAGAACGAAUGAUCUCGCUGUUUUCAAAAUUACUUGAAAACGGCUAGGAAUUAGAGAAAACCAUCUACAUGAAAAAGUUUUGCAUUUUCCGUAGCUUUUCAACGGUAUAUUAUUUGCCCCAUUUAGGUAAAGUUUUUAGAAUUACGGCCAAAAAAUAUUUUUAGCCAUUUUCAAAAUUGACUUAAAACCAUACGGAAUUGGGAGAAAAAAUAUAUACCGAAAAGUUUCGCAUUUCCUCAAGCUUUCCAACGCCAUAUCAUUUGCUGCAUCCGGACGAACGAUUAAAAUAUUAGCUCGAAAAUACGAACUCGGUGGAACUUGUACCAUUUUCUAAAUUACUCUUAAACCAUUCAAAAUUAGAAAAAUUUCAACAUGAAAAAGUAGCGCAUUUUUAUAUGCCUUUCAACGCGAUAUCAUUGCCUCAAUUGGAUUAGCCGUUUAGAAAUGACAUCAAAAAUACGAACUCGGCUGUUCGGUUUGCGAAAUUUUAUGAUUUUCCAAAUUACAGUUUAACCAUAUGAAAUUAGAGAAAACUAUCAGCAUGUUGAUGAAGAGGUUUUGCAGCAGCUUUCCAAUGCCAUAUUAUUUGCCUAAUUCCGAUAAACUGUUUAGAAAUGAUAUCAAAAAUAUGAUUCAUGUUUUUUGUAUGAAGAAAAAACGGUUUUCAAAACUGCUCUUGAACCACUUACGUUUUGCCAAAAAAUCAACUUGGGUCGUGAUACUCAUGUCCAUAGCUUUCCAACGGUAUAUCGCAAGCCCUAUUUGGGCAAUGUUUGCGGAAGUUCAACCUAGCACUGGGGGAAGUUCAGGUCGAACAACUCGGGCAGUAAAAUUGCAACACACGCAUGUUCAUCACGAAACCGUUUGCAAAUCCGCCAAUGAGCCAGAUUCCUAUUUGAAAUGGACAUUUAAUUGCUAAAAACCGUUUGCAAAUUACACUUACAUCACAUAGAACACGACUGACCAUAAAAAUUUACGUGGGGAGACACGGUUGCGAAGAUAGCCCGGAGGUCGGGUUCCUACAGAGGGAAGUUCAGUUGUGUAACUCAGGAAGUUCAGAUUGGGAUCAGAAUAGUGUUUAUUUGUGUGUGUGUGUGUGUGUGACAAAUUUUAUCGACCAUCAGUGAUUAUUACCACCACUUGAGUUUUAUAUGUUGUAUGUAGUAUAUAUCAAAUCGGAGAGUAUGUACACGUAGUAUUCAUUAUAUAAGAAUGUUUACGUAGUAUAUAUAUACUAUUUUUUAGGAUAGUAUGCGGCGUAUUUUGGGUAUGCUCUUUUUUACGUACAAAUAUAUGUGUAUUUUGCAAAUAUAAUAAAAACCAUGAGCUAACUUGCAAUUUUUUCAUGUAACUCACUUUGCAAUAUGUUAUAUAAAAUAUAUGAACACAUUUGAAAUUAUAAAGUAGUAUAUAUAAUACAAUAUGAUAGUAUAUUAGACAUGUGAGAUAACUAUCCCUGGGUGGUAGGAUAGAUUUUCUCUCUCUCUCUCUAUAUAUAUAAGUUAUUUUAUUAUGUAUCUUACAUAUUUGUCUCUCUCUCUCUCUCUCCGUAUAAGUUGUUUUAUUACAUAUCUUACAUAUUUAUUACAAGUAGAAGUAACUUUUAUCUUGCAUCAUAUUUGCUGCAUAGAUGGUUAUAUAAGUGACAUAUAUAGCUUGAGAAAAAAACUAGCUUAGCUUCUUGUUAGUAUGAGAGAAUAACUACUUCAGCUUCUUGUUAGUACAGUGUUCGAUACACUUCACGUCCACAUUUAAUUAUUCUACAACUACCCAUCACACUUGGUGAUUAUCAUACUUAUGACAUCCCUAACGUCAACCCUCAAACUGUCUGCAUACGUUCGGAGCGUGCGAUCCGGACGUGUAUUGACAUCCAAGCGGGUUUGUAUCGGUCCACUUGGCCGUCCAGAUGUACAUUUUCCCGCAAACCAUAGACAAACUAGUGGGCUUUGCGGGCGUUCGGACCGUUGCCACGCCCGUGUCUGACCACCCUGGCCCACCAGAAACCCCCCACCGCCUCUCCCGUGCUUUUCAUCAAACGCCCGGCGGGUCAAGGACGAGCCAUGCAUUGCCCCAGCCCAACCAUGACAUCUAGAUCGUACGCCGCGUCAAGGACGAGCUGCCCCCACACAACCGCGGCGUCCAGAUCGGACGCGGGGUCAAGGACGAGCCGACGUCGCCCCGGCACAACCGGUACACCUGCAUUGAAGGGCCUGCCUCGCCACCCCGCCGCCACCACCCUAUCAUGGAUGAGCUGCCGCUCGCGAUCACGAAGGCGCAAAGCUGCAUCCUCCAUUACAUCCGAAGCAGCGGUGUCGGUGGUUCGUUAGGCUCCACGGUCAUCAUCUCCGACAAGGAGCGCGUGGUGAGGUAGCAGGCGCGAUACGACCGGCGCAACGCUGGCCAUCGCUCCGUGUUCGCCAAAAUGGAUGUGGUGCUGGAUUGGAUCCCAAACAACCCCAAUCUCGCUGCUGUGUGGGCCCUCGAUCGCUCCUUCACCACCGCAGAGAUAGGCGCCAGGCACCGUGAUACGUCCCCAACGUAUCUAUAAUUUAUGAAGUAUUCAUGCUAUUUUAUUAUCAUUCUUGGAUGUUUUACAAUCAUUUAAUAGCAACUUUAUAUCAUUUUUUGGGACUAACCUAUUGACCCAGUGCCAGUUGCUGUUUUUUGCUUGUUUUUUACAUCGCAGGAAAUCAAUAUCAAACGGAGUCCAAACACCGCGAAACUUCUUGGAUAUUUUUUAUGGACCAGAACACCCAAGAUGGGCCAGAGCAGCACCUGGGGGUGCCACGAGGGGGGCACAACCCAUCAGGGCGCGCCUGGGGGCCCAGGCGCGCCCAGGUGGGUUGUGCCCACCUCGGUGGCCUCCCGCACCCCCUCUUUACAUUAUAAAUUCACAAAUAUUCUGAAAACCCUCGGGGUUUACCUAGAUCAGAAGUCCCGCCGCUGCAGGCCUCUGUAGCCACUGAAAACCAAUCUAGACCCCGUUCCGGCACCUGCCGGAGGGGGGAAUCUUCUCCGGUGGCCAUCUUCAGCAUCCCGGCGGCCACUACGAUGAGGAGGGAGUAGUCCACCCUCGGGGCUGAGGGUUUGUACCAGUAGCUAUGUGUUUAAUCUCUCUCUCUCUCUCUUGUGUUAUUUAGAUGUCACGACCUUGAUGUAUCGCGGGCUUUGUUAAUACAGUCGGAUCAUAUGGUGUUUUCCCCUCUCUAUCUUGUUGUGAUGAAUUGAGUUUUUACCUUUGAGAUUUCGUUGUUAUCGGAUUGAAUAUUUUUAUGGAUUUGAGAACACUUGAUAUAUUUCUUGCAAUUGAAUACUCGUGAUGACAAUGGGGUAUCAUAUUGAUUCACUUGAUAUAUGUUUUGGCACCCAACUCGCGGAUUCCUGAGGUGACAUUGGGGUAAUCUAUGCAUAGGGUUUGAUGCAUGUUCUUGUCUUUGUUUCCCCGGUAGAAAUCUUGAGGCACUCUUUGAAGUAUUUUGUGUUGGAUUGAGUAUUAUGAAUAUGAAUUUUCUUUGGUGUUAUUUUAGUACGAACUCUAGGAUAGAUCGAACAGAAAGAAUAGCUUUGUAUUAUUUUAGUACGAACUCUUGAAUAGAUUGAACGGAAAGAAUAGCUUUGAGGUGGUUUCGUACCCGACAAACAAUUUAUUCUUAUGUUCUCCGCUAGAUAGGAACUUUGGAGUGAUUCUUCAUCGCACUUUGAGGGAUGGUUAUAUGAUCCAAUUAUAUUAGCACUGUUGAGAGAUUGCACUAGCGAAAGUACGAACCCUAGGCCUCAUUUUCAAGCAUUGCAAUACCGUUUUUGUGCCCGUUUACUAUUUUCUACCUUGUUAUUUUUAUUUAUUUAGAUUAUAAAAAUAUAUUUCUACCAUCAAUAUUACACUUUUAUCACCAUCUCUUCGCCGAAUAGUGCACCUAUACAAUUUGUCAUUGUAUUGGGUGUGUUGGGAACACAAGAGAUUUCUUGUAUUUGGUUGCAGGGUCAUUUGAGAGAGACCAUCUUCAUCCUACACCUCUCACGGAUUGAUAAAUCUUAGGUCAUCCACUUGAGGGAAAAUUACUACUGUCCUACAAAACUCUGCGCUUGGAGUCCCAACACGUGUGUACAAGAAUCAAGUUGCGUAGUAGGCAUCACACCGUCGCUGCCUUGACGGCGAGCUCAUCAAGAUCGGCGAGGAGUGGUCGCUCGGCGACUACUCCGCCAAUGCCGGCCGCGGAAAGUCCGCCACCAGGGCACCGAGGGCUACAUCGGAAGUGGUUGCGGUGGCCCAACGCACCGCACAGCAGGAAGUAGAGCGGCUCUUCCGCGAACGGCAGGCAGCUGCCGGAUAAGGUUGUGGCGGCCCUGCAGCACCGUUCCGCCAUUGGAGGGACCACGACGACGGCAUAAACGAUGAAAGCGGUACGGCAGACAGGGCGGUCACGCGUAUGAGGUGGUCGUCCGGUAUAGGUUUUAGUUUUUUUCUAGUUUUUUAGUUAAAAGGUUGAAAUAUCGUACUUUUUAUGUAAAUUAUGACCUUACUUUAAUAAAAUCUCUCAUGUUUGCAUGAAUUUCGUCUGUUUAGUACAAACAGUGGUUGUUGAAAUGUAUGCGAACAACGUUGGAUGGCUGGCUCCCGCAUCCGUGUCCGGGCAGUGGUUCUCCUGUCCGCCGCGGACGGAUGCUGGAGCAAAUUUGCGGGUCAGAACCGUAGAUGCCCUUAGCUAAGAAUAGUAGAUGAGUAGAUAUUAUCAUUUAAUUAUACAUGUGUGUACACAUAUGAUUUAGGAAAUCUUUCAUUUUCUUGCCAACUAAGCAUAUAUUUGGGCUAGAUCAUCGUGACUAAGUUUGUACUGAUUUCCCGUUGUUAAUGCUUUCUUUCGAUAUCAGAAGAUAUUGUAUUAGAUAGAUUUAUUGUAUAAACAAUGUACACCGAUUAAUGCUCUGAUUGGAAAACAUAAUGAUGUGAUAUUUACUUAAUUAUUUAUUAUAAUUAAUAAUGCAUUCAUUUUACACCAUCAACUAUGAGUACAAAAGUAAUUAUGAUAUAUUUUCAUAGCUAAUGCAUCCCUGGUAUUAUUGAUUCCCGCAGCUUUAUUUGUAACAAAUUUGAUUCCCCAAAUACUGAUUGAUUUGAUAACUAAAAUAUUGAUAUACUCCCUCCGUUCGGAAUUACUUGUCUCGAAAAUGAAUGUAUCUAGAACUAAAAUACGUCUAGAUACAUCCAUUUCCGCGACAAGUAAUUCCGAACGGAAGGAGUAGAAGAUAUUAUUAAUUACCAUUAAACAAUUGACAUAAAUAGGCUGCAAUAUGUAUCUAUAUAACAGUAGGAGAGGUGAACACUACCACAAGCAAAAAGUAUGCCCAAAGAGCACCGAUCAUUGAAAAGGUACUAGGCUGUUGCGGCAAAAUAAAACUCAGAAAGCACUAGUGCCUCUCGAAAUGGCUAUCUUCAAGAAGAAAGCAGGCUCCCUGUUUUUGGCAACUCUCAUGGUCAUGGCUACUCUUCUCUCCUCAUGCGACGCGAACAACGAGGUUAUGUUAUUUUACAUGUCUUCCUUAUUCUCCUUGAUCAUUUGCUUAACGUGCAUCUUGAAAUGUUGAGAUCCCAUUAGAACUAGUGUAUAUUUAGCAAUGCCAAAAUAUAAGGUGGCAAGCUAUGUUGCACAUAAUUGGCCUAACAAAAUGUGUUGAUCUGGUGCAGAUACAAACAGAUGCUCUCCCCCUACCUGCGAAGUGCUAUGAGUUGGACUUACCUAACUGCACGUUGGAAUCAUGCGAGAAAUUUUGCCAUGGAGGAAAGUGCACUUCCUACGAUGGCUGUUGCUGCCCCAUUGCCUAAGGCACCACUAAAAUGAUAAAAUAUGUUUUGCAUAAUAAAAGAAAACCCUACAUGCAUAAUACAUAUAUGUAUGUGCUAGCUCUGGGGCUUUCUAAUCCUAUAACUAAUCUACCCGCUCUGUCCUGAAUUACUUGUCGCAAAAAUAGAUAAAAUUAAAUGUAUUUAGAACUAAAAUACGUCUAGAUAUAUCCAUUUCCACGACAAGUAAUUCUGGACGGAGCAGUAUAUUAAAGCAAGCAUGUUCUUUCUUCGGUAUUGCGAUUGAUAUGGAUUAAGCUACUCUAAAACCCCUGGUUCCUAACUCUGGCGACUUGCCCGAUCCUUUCCCGUCGAAAAAAAUGAACCUUAUACUUUUCUCUCUUCCUCCGACAUGUCAGUGACUUAGUUUGGUAAACUCAGGGAGUCGCGUGCGCCGCCGACUCCUGCCCGCCUUCUUUCCCGCCAGCGCCAAGUAACCGCACGCGCCGCCAGUCAAUAGAUCCACCACGCGCCCCGCCCCAAAGCCCCCACCGAGUACCGCGUACAACCCCAAAUCCCCGCUGCCGGCCGGUGCCCAGCACCUCCAUGGUUGCCACCAUAGUUGUGGACCCCCAUGACCCCAUCGCGCUGCUUGUGUCGGAUUCGGGGUUCCGCAGACCCUUGAGAGGUUCAAACUCUGGGGUGUGCACGAAGGACUCUUUCUCCCCAGCCUGCCUACCCAACGAUUUCAUGGCCUAGCUCGACGAACCCAAAGAACACGAGACACACAGGUUUAUACUGGUUCGGGCCACCGCGUGGUGUAAUACCCUACUCCAGUGUGGUGGUGGAUUGCCUCGAGGGCUGAGGAUGAACUAGUACAGUGGAUGAACAGCCUUAGGAGGAGAGGUGUUCUUGAGCUCGACGAGCUGGUGGGUGUGAGGAUGGAAUGGAUCCGAUCCAAGAUGAGUUUUUCCCUACGGUGGUGGCUAGCCCUAUUUAUAGAGGCCCUGGUCCUCUUCCCAAAUGUUAGGCGGGAAGGGAUCCCACAACGACCAAGUUUUAAGGGGGACAAAUAGUACAUGCUAUCCUGACAAAAGUGGUCUUCGACGGCCAAAGGCUCUGGUGGUGACGCUGCCGUGGGCUCUGUAAUGACCUCCAUCCUCCCGUCCUGCUGGUCUUGGUCUUGUUGCACCGAUAUGAAAACCUUUGCCUGAUGCAUCGGGUCUCUUCGCCUGCGCUUGCCUCUUUGGCACCAAAGAGGAAACUGGUACGUUGCGCCUGCUGGCACGCGCCAGGCCUUGGUCGUCAUGGCUCACGUCAUGUAAACCUUGCGAGGUGUCCCCUGCAUAGAUAUCUCCGCUCCUCGGGAGCCAGCCUAGCGAAGCCGCCCCCAGGGAGGCCUUGGUGUCGUCUGCCUCGCGAGGCUUGGCCCCUCGUGAGGGUCUUGAGUAGUUGUUGCCGAAGCCGGGCCAUACCGGGCCGUUGGUGGAGCCACGCCGUGGGCCGCAGGCAGGCAAGUCUAGGCACCCCUGUUCGCAGGACGCCGAUAGUAGCCCCCGGGCCCAAGGCGUGCUCGAACAUGGCUUCGAGGCGAAGCCAAAAGGCAAGUGCGGAGCGCCGCGGGCCCCAACCGCCUGUGGCCUUGAUUGACGUGUGGCGAUUGACGGGACGUUGGCGCCUUCGCUUCCCCACGCUGCCUCAGCAACCGUUCGACUUGACGAGACCCUGCUGCAUGCAGAAGAAAACCAUCAUUGCAUGCAAUCGUGGAGGCCGACGGUUGGCCUCCUCCUGGCUAUAAAUGAGGAGAAAACCAUCAUUGCGUGCAAUCUCCUUCUUCUCUCUGCCCGCUCCUCCUUCUUCCUCCUCGCCUUGCUGUCUUGCCGCGACACCCAUGGCGCCGAUAUGGAGAUUCUCCAUUGUUGAGAAAGGAAAAAAAACCGUGAGGAGCAGGGGCCACUUCCGCCGAAGAAGAGGUUUGGCUGCUCCCGCGAUGCUGGCGUGAGGGUGGAGGUGAUGAGGCCUUGGUACGAGCGGCCUCCUCCCGGCUACCCGCUGCCCUUGUACGCCCAAGCGCAAGGCACCGGAGGAGUAGGCGACUCCCCGCGCAGCUCGCGUUACGGCCGUGGUGGCCAUGCUGUGGUCGCACGAGCCGCCGACCCAUGAACCCACGCCGAGGGCUCCUCGCGUGAGUUCGUGGUGUGGGCGGCGAUGCCACCGCGCACAUGGAUCAAGCUUCCGUGGUUCUUUGCCGAAGAGAUGCCGCCAAGUGGGCCGCUCGAGUUGUGGCUGCAGCACGCCAAAUGCAGCACUCCGGCAAAAGGGGCGGAGAUCGAGGUCGUCUCCCCGGGCAAGAUCUUCAUGACCCGCGGAUGGGGCGAGGUCGCCCGCACUUGCCGCGCGGAGGGGGCUGAAGGAAAUAUGCCCUAUAGGCAAUAAUAAAGUUAUUAUUUAUUUUCUUAUAUCAUGAUAAAUGUUUAUUAUUCAUGCUAGAAUUGUAUUAACCGGAAACAUAAUACAUGUGUGAAUACAUAGACAAACAGAGUGUCACUAGUAUGCCUCUACUUGACUAGCUCGUUGAUCAAAGAUGGUUAUGUUUCCAAGCCAUUGACAUGGGUUGUCAUUUGAUUAACAGAAUCACAUCAUUAGGAGAAUGAUGUGAUUGAUAUGACUCAUUCCGUUAGCUUAGCACCCGAUCGUUUAGUAUGUUGCUAUUGAUUUCUUCAUGACUUAUACAUGUUCCUAUGACUAUGAGAUUAUGCAACUCCCGUUUACCAGAGGAACACUUUGUGUGCUACCAAACGUCACAACGUAACUGGGUGAUUAUAAAGGAGCUCUACAGGUGUCUCCGAAGGUACUUGUUGGGUUGGCGUAUUUCGAGAUUAGGAUUUGUCACUCCGAUUGUCGGAGAGGUAUCUCUGGGCCCUCUCGGUAAUGCACAUCACUUAAGCCUUGCAAGCGUUGCAACUAAUGAGUUAGUUGUGGGAUGAUGUAUUAUGGAACGAGUAAAGAGACUUGCCGGUAACGAGAUUGAACUAGGUAUUGAGAUACCGACGAUUGAAUCUCGGGCAAGUAACAUACCGAUGACAAAGGGAACAAUGUAUGUUGUUAUGCGGUCUGACCGAUAAAGAUCUUCAUAGAAUAUGUGGGAGCCAAUAUGAGCAUCCAGGUUUCGCUAUUGGUUAUUGACCGGAGACGUAUCUCGGUCAUGUCUACAUAGUUCUCGAACCCGUAGGGUCCGCACGCUUAACGUUUCGAUGACAGUUAUAUUAUGAGUUUAUAUGUUUUGGUAUACCGAAGGUUUUUCGGAGUCCCGGAUGUGAUCACGGACAUGACGAGGAGUCUCGAAAUGGUCGAGACAUGAAGAUUGAUAUAUUGGAAGCCUAUGUUUGGAUAUCGGAAGUGUUCCAGGUGAAAUCGGGAUUUUACCGGAGUACCGGGAGGUUACCGGAACCCCGCGAGAACUUAAUGGGCCUUAGUGGGCCUAGGUGGAAGAGAGGAGAGGCGGCUAGGGCUGGGCCGUGCGCCCCUCCCCCCAGUACGAAUAGGACAAGGAGAGGGGGCGGCGCCCCCCUUCCUUCUUCUCCUCCACUCUUUCCCCCUCCCAAGUCCUAAUCCAACUAGGAAAGGGGGGAGUCCUACUCCCGAUGGGAGUAGGACUCCUCCCGGCGCGCCCUCUCCCUUGGCCGGCCGCACCCCCCCUUGCUCCUUUAUAUACGGGGGCAGGGAGGCACCCUAGAGACACAACAAUUGAUCUGUUUGAUCUUUUAGCCGUGUGCGGUGCCCCCCUCCACCAUAGUCCACCUCGAUAAUACUGUAGCGGUGCUUAGGCGAAGCCUUGCGUCGGUACAACAUCAACAUCGUCACCACGCCGUCGUGCUGACAAAACUCUCCCUCAACACUCGGCUGGAUCGGAGUUCGAGGGACGUCAUCGAGCUGAACGUGUGCUGAACUCGGAGGUGCCGUGCGUUCGGUACUUGAUCGGUCGGAUCGUGAAGACGUACGACUACAUCAACCGCGUUGUGCUAACGCUUCCGCUUUCGGUCUAUGAGGGUACGUGGACAACACUCUCCCCUCUCGUUGCUAUGCAUCACCAUGAUCUUGCGUGUGCGUAGGAAUUUUUUUGAAAUUACUACGUUCCCCAACAGUGGCAUCCGAGCCAGGUUUUAUGCGUUGAUGUUAUAUGCAUGAGUAGAACACAAGUGAGUUGUGGGCGAUAUAAGUCAUACUGCUUACCAGCAUGUCAUACUUUGGUUCGGCAGUAUUGUUGGAUGAAGCGGCCUGGACCGACAUUACGCGUACGCUUACGCGAGACUGGUUCUACCAACGUGCUUUGCACAUAGGUGGCUGGCGGGUGUCCGUUUCUCCAACUUUAGUUGAACCAAGUGUGGCUACGCCCGGUCCUUGCGAAGGUUAAAACAUCACCAACUUGACAAACUAUCGUUCUGGUUUUGAUGCGUAGGUAAGAACGGUUCUUGCUAAGCCCGUAGUAGCCACGUAAAACUUGCAACAACAAACUAGAGGACGUCUAACUUGUUUUCGCAAGGCAUGUUGUGAUGUGAUAUGGUCAAGACAUGAUGCUAAAUUUUAUUGUAUGAGAUGAUCAUGUUUUGUAACUGAGUUAUCGGCAACUGGCAGGAGCCAUAUGGUUGUCGCUUUAUUGUAUGCAAUGCAAUCGCCCUGUAAUGCUUUACUUUAUCACUAAGCGGUAGCGAUAGUCGUAGAAGCACAAGAUUGGCAAGACGACAACGAUGCUACGAUGGAGAUCAAGGUGUUACGCUGGUGACGAUGGCGAUCAUGGAGGUGCUUCGGAGAUGGAGAUCACAAGCACAAGAUGAUGAUGGCCAUAUCAUAUCACUUAUAUUGAUUGCAUGUGAUGUUUAUCUUUUAUGCAUCUUAUCUUGCUUUGAUUGACGGUAGCAUUAUAAGAUGAUCUCUCACUAAAUUUCAAGAUAAAAGUGUUCUCCCUGAGUAUGCACCGUUGCCAAAGUUCGUCGUGACCAGACACCAUGUGAUGAUCGGGUGUGAUAAGCUCUACGUCCAUCUACAACGGGUGCAAGCCAGUUUUGCACACGCAGAAUACUCAGGUUAAACUUGACGAGCCUAGCAUAUGCAGAUAUGGCCCCGGAACACUGAGACCGAAAGGUCGAGCGUGAAUCAUAUAGUAGAUAUGAUCAACAUAGUGAUGUUCACCAUUGAAAACUACUCCAUUUCACAUGAUGAUUGGUUAUGGUUUAGUUGAUUUGGAUCACGUGAUCACUUAGAAGAUUAGAGGGAUGUCUUUCUAAGUGGGGGUUCUUAGGUAAUAUGAUUAAUUGAACUUAAAUUUAUCAUGAACUUAGUACCUGAUAGUAUCUUGCUUGUUUAUGUUGAUUGUAGAUAGAUGGCCCGUGUCGUUGUUCCGUUGAAUUUUAAUGCGUUCCUUGAGAAAGCAAAGUUGAAAGAUGAUGGUAGCAGUUACACGGACUGGGUCCGUAACUUGAGGAUAAUGCGCAGCUCACCAGGGAGGCCGGCAAUGCCGGUGGUGUGGAGGACAAGGCCGCGACGGCCGCGGAGGCAGAGGAGCUCGCCCGGUGGGCGGCGACCGCCGGGGGAGCCAGCAGCGCCGGCACCGAGGCUCCACUGGUCGAGGAUGUGACCGGCGAGUCGUCGUCGGAGGGGGAGGAGACCACAGACCCGGCGCCACGUGCGGGGAGGGGGCGAGUCCUGCGGCGGGCUAGUUCCGGUGAGCCGGUUCGGCCCCGCGGCACUGCGCAGCCGCAGUUGACCUUGGAGGGGUCCCGGCCCCACACGUGGGCCGCGGCGGCGAAGAAGCCAGCCAAGGUCGCGGUGAAGAAGAAGACAACCGCUCCUUCUUCACCCAAGUGUGCCUAGACGCCGCCUCCCUCGCCUCCUCCGGCGAACGUCAGCGCGGGGAUCACCUUUGAUUUUGGAUCCCUCAGUCCGAGGAGGAAGAGGAAGACCGCAGAGGAGGAGGAGGACGAUGAGUAAGCAUUCGGUUCCUCUCUGUCAUUUCUGCCUCCUCACCCUGUGUUGCUUAUCUUGACUUGUCACAAUCCUUGCAGGGACGCGGAGACGCUGGCCCAGAGGAUGAAGUGUUGGGGAACGUAGUAAUUUCAAAAAAUUUCCUAUGCACACGCAAGAUCAUGGUGAUGCAUAGCAACGAGAGGGGAGAGUGUUGUCUACGUACCCUCGUAGACCAAAGCGGAAGCGUUGACGCAACAUAGAUGAAGUAGUCGUACGUCUUCCCGGUCCAACCGAUCCAAGCACCGUUACUCCGGCACCUCCGAGUUCUUGACACACGUACAGCUCGAUGACGCACCCCGGGCUCCGAUCCAGCAAAGCUUCGGGGAGGAGUUUUGUUAGCACGACGGCGUGGUGACGAUCUUGAUGUUCAACUAUCGCAGGGCUUCGCCUAAGCACCGCUACAAUAUGACCGAGGUGUAAUAUCGUGGAGGGGGGCACCGCACACGGCUAAGGAACGAUCACGAAGAUCAACUUGUGUGUCCUGGGGUGCCCACCGCCCCCGUAUAUAAAGGAUCAAGGGGGAGGUCGGACAGCCCUUGGGGCGCGCCAAGGAGAUGGGGGGAGUCCUCCUCCUAGUGGGAGUAGGACUCCCCUUUCCUAGUCCAACUAGGAAUAGAGAUGGGGAAGGAAAGAGAGGGAGAGGGAGAGGGAAAGGGGGGCCGCGCCCCCCUCCUAGUCCUAUUCGGACUCCCCAUGAGGGGGGCACGCCACCUCCUGGGCUGCUGCCCUCUCUCUCCCCUCAUGCCCACUAAGGCCCAAUACUUCCCCGGGGGGUUCCGGUAACCCCUCCGGCACUCCGGUUUUACCCGAAAUCACUCGGAACAAUUCCGGUGUCCGAAUAUAGCCGUCCAAUAUACCGAUCUUUAUGUCUCGACCAUUUUGAGACUCCUCGUCAUGUCCGUGAUCACAUUCGGGACUCCGAACAACCUUCGGUACAUCAAAAUACAUAAACUCAUAAUGAAACUGUCAUCGUAACUUUAAGCGUGCGGACCCUACGGUUCGAGAAUAAUGUAGACAUGACCGAGACACGUCUCCGGUCAAUAACCAAUAGCGGGACCUGGAUGCCCAUAUUGGUUCCUACAUAUUCUAUGAAGAUAUUUAUCGGUCAGACCGCAUAACAACAUACGUUGUUCCCUUUGUCAUCGGUAUGUUACUUGCCCGAGAUUCGAUCGUCGGUAUCCAAUACCUAGUUCAAUCUCGUUACCGGCAAGUCUCUUUACUCGUUCCGUAAUACAUCAUCUCACAACUAACUCAUUAGUUGUAAUGCUUGCAAGGCUUAUGUGAUGUGCAUUACCGAGAGGGCCCAGAGAUACCUCUCCGACAUUCGGAGUGACAAAUCCUAACCUCGAAAUACGCCAACCCAACAAGUACCUUCGGAGACACCUGUAGAGCACCUUUAUAAUCACCCAGUUACGUUGUGACGUUUGGUAGCACACAAAGUGUUCCUCCGGUAAACGGGAGUUUUAUAAUCUCAUAGUCAUAGGAACAUGUAUAAGUCAUGAAGAAAGCAACAUACUAAACGAUCGAGUGCUAAGCUAACGGAAUGGGUCAUGUCAAUCACAUCAUUCUCCUAAUGAUGUGAUCCCGUUAAUCAAAUGACAACUCAUGUCUAUGGCUAGGAAACUUAACCAUCUUUGAUCAACGAGCUAGUCAAGUAGAGGCAUACUAGUGACACUCUGUUUGUCUAUGUAUUCACACAUGUAUUAUGUUUCCGGUUAAUACAAUUCUAGCAUGAAUAAUAAACAUUUAUCAUGAAAUAAGGAAAUAAAUAAUAACUUUAUUAUUGCCUCUAGGGCAUAUUUCCUUCAGUCUCCCACUUGCACUAGAGUUAAUAAUCUAGUUCACAUCGCCAUGUGAUUUAACACCAAUAGUUCACAUCACCAUGUGAUUAACACCCAUAGUUCACAUCAUCAUGUGACCAACACCCAAAGGGUUUACUAGAGUCAAUAAUCUAGUUCACAUCGCUAUGUGAUUAACACCCAAAGAGUACUAAGGUGUGAUCAUGUUUUGUUUGUGAGAGAAGUUUAGUCAACGGGUCUGCCACAUUCAGAUCCGUAUGUAUUUUGCAAAUUUCUAUGUCAACAAUGCUCUGCACGGAACUACUCUAGCUAAUUGCUCCCACUUUCAAUAUGUAUCCAGAUUGAGACUUAGAGUCAUCUAGAUUAGUGUCAAAACUUGCAUCGACGUAACCCUUUACAACGAACCUUUUGUCACCUCCAUAAUCGAGAAACAUAUCCUUAUUCCACUAAGGAUAAUUUUGACCGCUGUCCAGUGAUCUACUCCUAGAUCACUAUUGUACUCCCUUGCCAAAAUCAGUGUAGGGUAUACAAUAGAUCUGGUACACAGCAUGGCAUACUUUAUAGAACCUAUGGCCAAGGUAUAGGGAAUGACUUUCAUUCUCGUUCUAUCUUCUGCCGUGGUCGAGUUUUGAGUCUUACUCAAUUUCACACCUUGUAACACAGGCAAGAACUCUUUCUUUGACUGUUCCAUUUUGAACUACUUCAAAAUCUUGUCAAGGUAUGUACUUAUUGAAAAAACUUAUCAAGCGUCUUGAUCUAUCUCUAUAGAUCUUGAUGCUCAAUAUGUAAGCAGCUUCACCGAGGUUCUUCUUCGAAAAAAUCCUUUCAAAUACUCCUUUAUGCUUCGCAGAAUAAUUCUACAUUAUUUCCGAUCAACAAUAUGUCAUUUACAUAUACUUAUCAGAAAUGCUGUAGUGCUCCCACUCACUUUCUUGUAAAUACAGGCUUCACCGCAAGUUUGUAUAAAACUAUAUGCUUUGAUCAACUUAUCAAAGCGUGUAUUCCAACUCCGAGAUGCUUGCACCAGUCCAUAGAUGGAUCGCUGGAGCUUGCACAUUUUGUUAACACCUUUAGGAUUGACAAAAACUGUCUGGUUGCAUCAUAUACAACUCUUCUUUAAUAAAUCCAUUAAGGAAUGCAGUUUUGUUUAUCCAUUUGCCAGAUUUCAUAAAAUGUGGCAAUUGCUAACAUGAUUCGGACAGAGUUAAGCAUAGAUACGAGUGAGAAACUCUCAUCGUAGUCAACACCUUGAACUUGUCGAAAACCUUUUGCGACAAUUCUAGCUUUGUAGAUAGUAACACUACUAUCAGCGUCCGUCUUCCUCUUGAAGAUCCAUUUAUUCUUAAUGGCUUGCCGAUCACCGAGCAAGUCCACCAAAGUCCAUACUUUGUUCUCAUACAUGGAUCAUAUCUCAGAUUUCAUGGCCUCAAGCCAUUUUGCGGAAUCUGGGCUCAUCAUCGCUUCCUCAUAGUUUGUAGGUUUAUCAUGAUCUAGUAGCAUGACUUUCAGAACAGGAUUACCGUACCACUCUGGUGCGGAUCUUACUCUGGUUGAUCUACGAAGUUCAGUAGUAACUUGUUCUGAAGUUUCAUGAUCAUCAUCAUUAUCUUCCUCACUAAUUGGUGUAGGAGUCACAGGAACAGAUUUCUGUGAUGAACUACUUUCCAAUAAGGGAGCAGGUACAGUUACCUAUUCAAGUUCUACUUUCCUCCCACUCAUUUCUUUCGAGAGAAACUCCUUCUCUAGAAAGGAUCCAUUCUUAGCAACGAAUGUCUUGCCUUCGGAUCUGUGAUAGAAGGUGUACCCAACUAUCUCCUUUGGGUAUCCUAUGAAGACACAUUUCUCCGAUUUGGGUUUGAGCUUAUCAGGAUGAAACUUUUUCAUAUAAGCAUUGCAACCCCAAACUUUAAGAAAUGACAACUUUGGUUUCUUGCCAAACCACAGUUCAGAUUGUGUUGUCUCAAUGGACUUAGAUGGUGCCCCUUUUUUUAACGUGAAUGCAGCUGUCUUUAAUGCAUAACCCCAAAACGAUAGUGGUAAACCGGUAAGAAACAUCAUAGAUUGCACUAUAUCCAUUAAAGUACGGUUAUGACGUUCGGAUACACCAUUAUGCUGUGGUGUUCCAGGUGGCGUGAGUAGUGAAACUAUUUCACAUUGUUUUAACUGAAGACCAAACUCGUAACUCAAAUACUCUUCUCCACGAUCAGAUCAUAGAAACUUUAUUUUCUUGUUACAAUGAUUUUCCACUUCACUCUGAAAUUACAUGAACUUUUUCAAAUGUUUCAGACUUCUAUUUCAUUAAGUAGAUAUACCCAUAUCUGCUCAAAUCAUUUGUGAAGGUCAUAAAAUAAUGAUACCCGCUGCAAGCCUUAACAUUCAUCGGACCACAUACAUCAGUAUGUAUGAUUUCCAACAAAUCUGUUGCUUGCUUCAUUGUUCCGGAGAACGGCGUUUUAGUCAUCUUGCCCAAGAGGCAUGGUUCGCAAGCAUCAAGUGAUUCAUAAUCAAGUGAUUCCAAAAGUCCAUCAGCAUGGAGUUUCUUCAUGCGCUUUACACCAACAUGACCUAAACGGCAGUGCCACAAAUAAGUUGCACUAUCAUUAUUAACUUUGCAUCUUUUUGGCUUCAAUAUUAUGAAUAUGUGUAUCACUAUGAUCAAGAUCGAACAAACCAUUUUCGUUGGUGUGUAUGACCAUAAAAGGUUAUAUUCAUGUAAACAGAACAACAAUUGUUCUCUAACUUAAAUGAAUAAUCGUAUUGCAAUAAACAUGAUCAAAUCAUAUUUACGCUCAGUGCAAACACCAAAUAGCACUUAUUUAGACUCAACACUAAUCCCGAAAGUAUAGGGAGUGUACGAUGAUGAUCAUAUCAAUCUUGGAACCACUUCCAACACACAUCGUCACUUCACCCUCAACUAGUCUCUGUUUAUUCUGCAACUCUUGUUUUGAGUUACUACUCUUAGCAAUUGAACCAGUACCAAAUACCGAGGGGUUGCUAUAAACACUAGUAAAGUACACAUCAAUAACAUGUAUAUCAAAUAUACCUUUGUUCACUUUGCCAUCCUUCUUAUCCGCCAAAUACUUGGGGUGGUUCCGCUUCUAGUGACCAGUCCCUUUGCAGUAUAAGCACUUAGUCUCAGGCUUAGGUCCAGACUUGGGCUUCUUCACUUGAGCAGCAACUUGCUUGCCGUUCUUCUUGAAGUUCCCUUCUAUCCCUUUACCCUUUUCUUAAAACUAGUGGUCUUGUUAACCAUCAACACUUGAUGUUUUUCUUGAUUUCUACCUUCGUCAAUUUCAGCAUCACGAAGAGCUUGGGAAUUACUUUCGUCAUCCCUUGCAUAUUAUAGUUCAUCACAAAGUUCUACUAACUUGGUGAUGGUGACUAGAGAAUUCUGUCAAUCACUAUUUUAUCUGGAAGAUUAACUCCCACUUGAUUCAAGCGAUUGUAGUACUCAGACUAUCUGAGCACAUGCUCACUAGUUGAGCGAUUCUCCUCCAUCUUUUAGCGAUAGAACUUGUUGGAGACUUCAUGUCUCUCAACUCGGGUAUUUGCUUGAAAUAUUAACUUCAACUCCUGGAACAUCUCAUAUGGUCCAUGACGUUCAAAACGUCUUUGAAGUCCCGAUUCUAAGCCGUUAAGCAUGGUGCACUAAACUAUCAAGUAGUCAUCAUAUUGAGCUAGCCAAACGUUCAUAACGUCUGCAUCUGCUCCUGCAAUAGGUCCGUCACCUAGCAGUGCAUCAAGGACAUAAUUCUUCUGUGCAGCAAUGAGGAUAAACCUCAGAUCACGAAUCCAAUCCGCAUCAUUGCUACUAACAUCUUUCAACACAUUUUUCUCUAGGAACAUAUCAAAAUAAACACAGGGAACAACAUCGCGAGCUAUUGAUCUACAACAUAGAUAUGCUAAUACUACUAGGACUAAGUUCAUGAUAAAUUAAAGUUCAAUUAAUCAUAUUACUUAAGAACUCCCACUUAGAUAGACAUCCCUCUAAUCCUCUAAGUGAUCACGUGAUCCAAAUCAACUAAACCAUAACCGAUCAUCACGUGAAAUGGACUAGUUUUCAAUGGUGAACAUCACUAUGCUGAUCAUAUCUACUAUAUGAUUCACGCUCGACCUUUCGGUCUCCGUGUUCCGAGGCCAUAUCUGCAUAUGCUAGGCUCGUCAAGUUUAACCCGAGUAUUCUGCGUGUGCAAAACUGGCUUGCACCCAUUGUAGAUGGACGUAGAGCUUAUCACACCCGAUCAUCACGUGGUGUCUGGGCACGAUGAACUUUGGCAACGGUGCAUACUCAGGGAGAACACUUCUUGAUAAUUAGUGAGAGAUCAUCUUAAAAAGCUACCGUCGAACUAAGCAAAAUAAGAUGUAUAAAAGAUAAACAUCACAUGCAAUCAAAAUAUGUGACAUGAUAUGACCAUCAUCAUCUUGUGCCUUUGAUCUCCAUCUCCAAAGCAUCGUCAUGAUCUCCAUCGUCAUCGGCAUGACACCAUGAUCUCCAUCAUCUUGAUCUAUAUCAAUGUGUCGUCACAUGGUCAUCUCGCCAACAAUUGCUCUUGCAACUAUUGCUAUCGCAUAGCGAUAAAGUAAAGCAAUUAUUUGGCGCUUGCAUCUUAUGCAAUAGAGACAACCAUAAGGCUUCUGCCAGUUGCCGAUAACCUCGACAAAACAUGAUCAUAUUAUACAACAACUUAUAUCUCAUCACGUCUUGACCAUAUCACAUCACAACAUGCCCUGCAAAAACAAGUUAGAUGUCCUCUACUUUGUUGUUGCAAGUUUUACGUGGCUGCUACUGGGCUUAGCAAGAACCGUUCUUACCUACGCAUCAAAACCACAAUGAUAGUUUGUCAAGUUGGUGCUGUUUUAACCUUCGCAAGGACCGGGCGUAGCCACACUCGGUUCAACUAAAGUUGGAGAAACUGACACCCGCUAGCCACCUGUGUCCAAAGCACGACGGUAGAACCAGUCUCGCGUAAGCGUACGCGUAAUGUCGGUCCGGGCCGCUUCAUCCAACAAUACCACCGAACCAAAGUAUGACAUGCUGGUAAGCAGUAUGACUUAUAUCGCCCACAACUCACUUGUGUUCUACUCAUGCAUAUAACAUCAAACCAUAAAACCUAGGCUCGGAUGCCACUGUUGGGGAACGUAGUAAUUUCAAAAAAUUUCCUACGCACACGCAAGAUCAUGGUGAUGCAUAGCAACGAGAGGGGAGAGUGUUGUCUAUGUACCCUCAUAGACCGAAGCGGAAGCGUUGACGCCAUAGAGGAAGUAGUCGUAUGUCUUCCCGAUCCAACCGAUCCAAGCACCGUUACUCCGGCACCUCCGAGUUCUUGACACACGUACAACUUGAUGACGCACCCCGGGCUCCGAUCCAGCAAAGCUUCGGGGAGGAGUUUCGUUAGCACGACGGCGUGGUGACGAUCUUGAUGUUCAACUGUCGCAGGGCUUCACCUAAGCACCGCUACAAUAUGACCGAGGUGUAAUAUCAUGAAGGGGGGCACCGCACACGGCUAAGGAACGAUCACGAAGAUCAACUUGUGUGUCCUGGGGUGCCCCCCUGCCCCCGUAUAUAAAGGAGCAAGGGGGAGGCCGGCUGGCCCUUGGGGCGCGCCAAGGAGAGGGGGGGAGUCCUCCUCCUAGUGGGAGUAGGACUCCCCUUUCCUAGUCCAACUAGGAAUAGAGAGGGGAAGGAAAGAGAGGGAGAGGGAGAGGGAAAGGGGGGCCGCGCCCCCCUCCUAGUCCUAUUCGGACUCCCCAUGAGGGGGGGGCGCCACCUCCUGGGCUGCUGCCCUCUCUCUCCCCUCAGGCCCACUAAGGCCCAAUACUUCCCCGAGGGGUUCCGGUAACCCCUCCGGCACUCCGGUUUUACCCGAAAUCACUCGGAACAAUUCCGGUGUCCGAAUAUAGCCGUCCAAUAUAUCGAUCUUUAUGUCUCAACCAUUUCGAGACUCCUCGUCAUGUCCGAGACACGUCUCUGUUCAAUAACCAAUAGCGGGACCUGGAUGCCCAUAUUGGUUCCUACAUAUUCUACGAAGAUCUUUAUUGGUCAGACCGCAUAACAAUAUACGUUGUUCCCUUUGUCAUCGGUAUGUUACUUGCCCGAGAUUCGAUCGUCGGUAUCCAAUACCUAGUUCAAUCUCGUUACCGGCAAGUCUCUUUACUCGUUCCAUAAUACAUCAUCUCACAACUAACUCAUUAGUUGUAAUGCUUGCAAGGCUUAUGUGAUGUGCAUUACCGAGAGGGCCCAGAGAUACCUCUCCGACAUUCGGAGUGACAAAUCCUAAUCUCGAAAUACGCCAAUCCAACAAGUACCUUCGGAGACACCUGUAGAGCACCUUUAUAAUCACCCAGUUACGUUGUGACAUUUGGUAGCACACAAAGUGUUCCUCUGGUAAACGGGAGUUGCAUAAUCUCAUAGUCAUAGGAACAUGUAUAAGUCAUGAAGAAAGCAACAUACUAAACGAUCGAGUGCUAAGCUAACGGAAUGGGUCAUGUCAAUCACAUCAUUCUCCUAAUGAUGUGAUCCCGUUAAUCAAAUGACAACUCAUGUCUAUGGCUAGGAAACUUAACCAUCUUUGAUCAACGAGCUAGUCAAGUAGAGGCAUAAUAGUGACACUCUGUUUGUCUAUGUAUUCACACAUGUAUUAUGUUUCCGGUUAAUAUAAUUCUAGAAUGAAUAAUAAACAUUGAUCAUUAAAUAAGGAAAUAAAUAAUAACUUUAUUUUGAGAAAGGUCUAGGUGAUAGGGUUUGGCUACGGUGACAAAGUGCAAAAAGAAUCAACUUAAUCGGAGCUACGGUCUAGGAGAUAUGGCCAAAUAGGGUUUAAAUUUGAAUUUAAAAUAAUUCAAAUUUGUAUUUGUCAAAAACUUGCAAAGGUAGGUCAUCUGGAUAGAUCUAAUUGAGGCGACCGCUAGUUUCGUAGAAUUUGGACUUACGGUUAAAAAGUUGUGGCUAAACUAAAAUCAGGGACUAAUCAACUAAUUCCAGGGACUAGUUGGUGAAACAAAAAAUAAACUAAACUAAGAACAGGUCCUCGACCACGUGGCAGAUUCCUACUGGCCGAGUAGCGUUCGCUGCGGAAGCUAUUCGGCGAAUGACCGCUAUCUAAGCAAAACAGCUACCGCGGCUAAAAAAUGAAAACCGGAGACCGGUUUAUUUUAAACCGCGGUUAACCGAUCUAAUCCAAAUAAAUAAUAAUAAAAAAGAACUAAACUAAACGAACGAGGCGGGAGGCUCGGCUUACAGCGGCGAUGACGACGAGCAGGGGGCGGCGGCGUUGGCGUCAGGCGGCGGACGGGCGGUGGCGGCGGUGCUCCUUGGCGGCGGGGAAGGAGACGAAUGGGACGAGCACGACGUGGGCGGUUCAGUGGUGGCGACGGCGCACGUCGGGGUGGCCUGGACGGGUGGAGCGAGGUGGCGGCGUUUGGAGCUCUGGUGAGGACGCAACACGUCGGGGCGUUGUCUCUGGUGGUCCCUAAGAGCAAAGAAAAUGUCAAACGGAUGCUCAUUGACCCGGGCAAUAUUUUGGUGAAGAAGAACAGUGUCGGGGCGGUUUACUGGCGGCGUUUUACUCCGGCAAGGAAGCUCCGGCUCUAGCAAGAUCCAAAGCAGGAGGGCGUCGGCUACGGGUGGUGUGAGGCGAAACGAAGUGGCAGAAUGGAGAGAGGGGGUCGAGGGCUUCUUAUAGGCGCGGAGAGAGGGCUCGGGAGCGAGGGAUAAGCUCUAUCCCAAGAGCUUCGGCCGGCGGGUUCGGGCGUGUGCGUGUGUGUGCUCAUCCAGCGGGGUCUGCAGGAGGUUAGGGACGACCUGGGGAGUGGGCCCCGCGGGUCAGCGAUAGGGGAGAGAUGAGCGAGGGAGAGAGACGAGCGGGCCAGCGACGCGAGCGCUCGGGCGCUGGGAGUAGGCCGCGGGCCGAAGUGCGCGGCUGGCUGGGCCUGUGUGCGGGUAUGCGUGUUUUUUUAACUUAAAGAAAAAAUGCAACAGAAGAAAAUAAAAAUUCUACAUAGGCAUACUAAAAUGUUCAGAAAAAAUACCCUAAAUAAGAUGAACUAUUUUUCAGGUUCAAAUAAAUUCCAUAAAAAUUCAUAAAAGUCAAACAGUGCUACUGUUGCAUUUAAAAUCAAUAAAAGUCAUUUUUUUUAAAUAGCAAAAUGAUUCCAAUUUUAUUUUCUCCUAAUUUUCCAUUGAAGGGAAUUAUUUUACCCUUAUUUCCAUUUAUUUAUUUUUAGGAGAAAAUAAUUUGAAUUAAAACUAAAUAACUCCGAAGAGGAUUUGAAAUCUGGAAAUUCAAAUAACUUCAAAGUGACUUUGAAAUUAUUUCUUUGAAACUUCCAACUCUGUUUCUUCAAAUUUGAAGAAGUCAUUUUAUCUUCCCUCAUGAACUCAUUAACUUGCUUAAAGUUUCUAAAUUUGAAAUAUUUCAAAUGGAAUUCAAAUCAUUUUCAAACCCCUUUUUAUUUUCUUAAAAUGGAAGAAGUCAUAUUAUCUUCACUCUAGGGUCUUGUGAUGAGAUGACUUUGAAUUCAUGGAGAUCAAGAAAAAUGCAAGAUGAGAGUUUUGGGAAAGUCCUUUUAUUCCCUCUCAUUCAACUUUCAAAAAAAAUCAAUUUCCACUCAAUUUCACACCAUCAAUCACACAACAAACAAACAAGCAAUCAUAAUUAUUUAUUUAAUAUAACCUUCCAAAAUUUAGAAUUUUGGUAUGUUACAGGUACGGAGAGACAGACAGGGGGAGAGGAGUGCGGCUAGGAGGUGGUGCAAGAGGCCUACUAUGUCGAGGGGGGAGGAGUGUGCGACUAUGAGAUCGAUGAAAAGAGGGGCGGGAGUGUGCACCUGCGUGGAACCGUAUUGGAGAUAGGGGGCAGACGGGUGAGAAGAGAAGAGGGGAAGUAUGUGUUUGUGGUAGGCACACUUGGAUAGAGAAGUAUAUCGACCGGUGUGUGCCGGAAAGAAGGAGUCGGGGGGCCUACACACACCGUAGGUGAACGACCUAAAGAGAAAUAACGAACGUGCGCGAUGGAGGGGACGCUGAGGGAGGGUGAGAGGGGGGCGGGCGUAUGCGUGCACAAUAGAAAAUUAGCGCUAGCUAGCUACAAAGAGAAGAGGAUCGUGAAGGUGUUAAAGACGAACAUAGAUCAUAAUUCAUUAUAAAAAAGUGGAUACUAAGAAUUGCUGUAAAACCGUUUUAUCACACAUAUUGUUCGGAAACUCUAAUAUUUUCUUUGCAAUAUUUUCUUGUAAAUGUAUUUUGCUUAUCCUAUUUCAUGAUCAAGGAAAUGUAUUCUUUCCUUGCAAAUUUCCAUCUUAUUUUUUUAUAAUAUGAGCCCAUUUUGUUCUACCUUCAGAAAGAACACUUCAAGAUGGGCUAUAUGCUCGAUGUACGACUUUGAGAAUACUAAUAAAUCAUCUACAUACACCAAUAUAAAUGCUUGAUUCUGAUUAAAUAUAUUUUGCAUUUUCCUUGAAAAAAGUGCAGGAGCAUUCUUUUGGCCCAAUGGCAUGAGUAAUGAUUCAUAAUAGCUUUCUUGACAAGUAAAUGUUGUCGAAUGGAUAGAUUCUUCGACCAUUUUUACUUGCCAAAAUCAUUCUUUUAAAUCAAAUUUAGAUAAAUAUUUGCUUCAUUGUAUUCUAUUGAUCCAUUCCUACUUAUUAGGUAUAUUGUAUGCAUCUUCUAUGUAUUAUCAUUAAGGCAUUUAAAAUUUAUUACCAUUCUGGAUUUACCUCUUACUUCUUCAUCGGGAAUUCUAACUAUAAAAGCAACAGACCGAUGAGGGUUUCUGCUUUCUGUCAUUGCUUUUAUUUUUCGUAACUCUUCAAUAUGCAUUUUGAACUUUUCAAAAAUCUUUAGGAGUAGCUUCUAUUGGUCCUUACUUAAUUAUAUAAUCCGGAUUUGUGACGAGGCCAAUCAGUACAUCUGACGGUGUGCACAAUGGUGUAAUAUCCCAGUUAGUACUCAUCAUAUUUUUCGUUAUGUUAGUUAAAGAUUAAAUAUAUUUAAACAUGUUGUAUGCAUGCUUAAUUAACUCGAAUACAUUACCCAUAGAUAGGGAUGUGACACUAGGCGCACAGCACAAAUAUACUUGUUUCUGGGUUGAUCCGUAAAGAGAAUUUGAUUUUCACGCAGAUAGAUCAUGGCAUACAAAUAUUGUUUGAUAACGAUUUUGCCGGCGAGUUGACGUACAUUGAGGAUUAGUCUGAAUUAAAUUGAUGUUACCUGAUUGCAAGGCCACUGACGAUCAUCUGGCGAAAACAUACACUGUACGGGUAGCCUGCCGCAGCCUCGGGGUGAUCGAUCCGCAUUUCCUCUCGUAGAGCAGGGCGCGCGCUGAGCAGCUGAAAGUACACAGAAGUGCAGAUUUUUAUGGUAUGCCUGAUGGAAGCCAUAUAGACACACAGAUAAACGCGAAGCAAUCAGGCAGCCCAAAAAGAGAGAAGAUGACAUACCGCCUGCACGCACCGAACCUGCACACAGAGGCUGCACAAUACACUCGAUCGGAGCACUGGACGAAGGAUGAU